rnacentral:rRNA from 1 species
CACGGGGGGAGCAAGCGUUGUUCGGAAUCACUGGGCGUAAAGGGCGUGUAGGCGGUCAAGUAAGUGGAAUGUGAAAGCCCCCGGCUUACCCGGGGAUCUGCAUCCCAAACUGCUUGGCUUGAGUACGGGAGAGGAUAGGGGAAUUCCUGGUGUAGCGGUGAAAUGCGUAGAUAUCAGGAGGAACACCGGUGGCGAAGGCGCCUAUCUGGCCCGAUACUGACGCUGAGGCGCGAAAGCCAGGGGAGCAAGCGGG